rnacentral:rRNA from 1 species
GUGACUGCGUACCUUUUGUAUAAUGGGUCAGCGACUUAUAUUCUGUAGCAAGGUUAACCGAAUAGGGGAGCCGAAGGGAAACCGAGUCUUAACUGGGCGUUAAGUUGCAGGGUAUAGACCCGAAACCCGGUGAUCUAGCCAUGGGCAGGUUGAAGGUUGGGUAACACUAACUGGAGGACCGAACCGACUAAUGUUGAAAAAUUAGCGGAUGACUUGUGGCUGGGGGUGAAAGGCCAAUCAAACCGGGAGAUAGCUGGUUCUCCCCGAAAGCUAUUUAGGUAGCGCCUCGUGAAUUCAUCUCCGGGGGUAGAGCACUGUUUCGGCAAGGGGGUCAUCCCGACUUACCAACCCGAUGCAAACUGCGAAUACCGGAGAAUGUUAUCACGGGAGACACACGGCGGGUGCUAACGUCCGUCGUGAAGAGGGAAACAACCCAGACCGCCAGCUAAGGUCCCAAAGUCAUGGUUAAGUGGGAAACGAUGUGGGAAGGCCCAGACAGCCAGGAUGUUGGCUUAGAAGCAGCCAUCAUUUAAAGAAAGCGUAAUAGCUCACUGGUCGAGUCGGCCUGCGCGGAAGAUGUAACGGGGCUAAACCAUGCACCGAAGCUGCGGCAGCGACGCUUAUGCGUUGUUGGGUAGGGGAGCGUUCUGUAAGCCUGUGAAGGUGUGCUGUGAGGCAUGCUGGAGGUAUCAGAAGUGCGAAUGCUGACAUAAGUAACGAUAAAGCGGGUGAAAAGCCCGCUCGCCGGAAGACCAAGGGUUCCUGUCCAACGUUAAUCGGGGCAGGGUGAGUCGACCCCUAAGGCGAGGCCGAAAGGCGUAGUCGAUGGGAAACAGGUUAAUAUUCCUGUACUUGGUGUUACUGCGAAGGGGGGACGGAGAAGGCUAUGUUGGCCGGGCGACGGUUGUCCCGGUUUAAGCG